GAUGAAGAACGCAGCGAAAUGCGAUAAGUAAUGUGAAUUGCAGAAUUCAGUGAAUCAUCGAAUCUUUGAACGCACAUUGCGCCCGUCAGUAUUCUGGCGGGCAUGCCUGUUCGAGCGUCAUUACGCCCCUCAAGUCCCCUGUGGACUUGGUGUUGGGGAUCGGCGAGGCUGGUUUUCCAGCACAGCCGUCCCUUAAAUUAAUUGGCGGUCUCGCCGUGGCCCUCCUCUGCGCAGUAGUAAAACACUCGCAACAGGAGCCCGGCGCGGUCCACUGCCGUAAAACCCCCCAACUUUUUAUAGUUGACCUCGAAACAGGUAGGACUACCCGCUGAACUUAAGCAUAUCAAUAAGCGGAGGA
rnacentral:misc_RNA from 1 species